GACGAACGCUGGCGGCGUGCCUAAUACAUGCAAGUCGAGCGAGACUCUUCGGAGUCUAGCGGCGGACGGGUGAGUAACACGUGGGCAACCUGCCUGUAAGACUGGGAUAACACCGGGAAACCGGUGCUAAUACCGGAUAAUCCUUUUCCUCUCAUGAGGAAAAGCUGAAAGUCGGUUUCGGCUGACACUUACAGAUGGGCCCGCGGCGCAUUAGCUAGUUGGGGAGGUAACGGCUCACCAAGGCGACGAUGCGUAGCCGACCUGAGGGGGUGAUCGGCCAAGCUGGGACUGAGACACGGCCCAGACUCCUACGGGGGGCAGCAGUAGGGAAUCUUCCACAAUGGACGAAAGUCUGGUGGCGCAACGCCGCGUGAGCGAUGAAGGCCUUCGGGUCGUAAAGCUCUGUUGUUAGGGAAGAACAAGUACCGGAGUAACUGCCGGUACCUUGACGGUACCUAACCAGAAAGCCACGGCUAACUACGUGCCAGCAGCCGCCGUAA
rnacentral:rRNA from 1 species